rnacentral:rRNA from 1 species
CAUUAUUGUAUAACCGAGGCGCGAGGUGCUGUCGCUGACCCAUCUGANGGUCGUGCACGCCCAAGUGCUCUCACACAUCCAUCUCACCCCUUUUGUGCACCACCGCGUGGGUCCUCUUCUUCAAAGGGGGCUUGCGUUUUCACACAAACUUUUAAUGCAGUGUAGAAUGUUAUUUAUUUUGCAGUUAUAUGCAAUUAAUACAACUUUCAACAACGGAUCUCUUGGCUCUCGCAUCGAUGAAGAACGCAGCGAAAUGCGAUACGUAAUGUGAAUUGCAGAAUUCAGUGAAUCAUCGAAUCUUUGAACGCACCUUGCGCCCCUUGGCAUUCCGAGGGGCACACCCGUUUGAGUGUCGUGAAAUUCUCAAAAGCCUUUCUUUUGGUUCUUGGAUCAGAGAAAGGGUUUUGGACUUGGAGGUGUUUUGCUGGCUUCACAUUGAAGUGAGCUCCUCCCAAAUAGAUUAGUGGGUUCCAGUUUGCUGACCCUGACGUGAUAAGAUGUUUCUACGUCUUAUGGGUUUGGCAUGUUCCUUGGAUAUCUGCUUCUAACUGUCUGAUUGACAAAGGAUGGUGCUCUGGUCAUUGCCACUUUGAUGAGUGGUGAAGGCUUGACCCACAAAUGAACCUUGACCUCAAAUCGGGUGAGACUACCCGCUGAACUUAAGCAUAUCAAUAAGCGGAGGAAAAGAAACUAACAAGGAUUCCCCUAGUAACUGCGAGUGAAGCGGGAAAAGCUCAAAUUUAAAAUCUGGUGGUCUUUGGCCAUCCGAGUUGUAAUUUAGAGAAGCGUCUUCCGCGCCGAACCGUGCACAAGUCUCCUGGAAUGGAGCGUCAUAGAGGGUGAGAAUCCCGUCUUUGGCACGGACACACGGGGCUUUUGUGAUGCGCUCUCGAAGAGUCGAGUUGUUUGGGAAUGCAGCUCAAAAUGGGUGGUGAACUCCAUCUAAAGCUAAAUAUUGGCGAGAGACCGAUAGCGAACAAGUACCGUGAGGGAAAGAUGAAAAGCACUUUGGAAAGAGAGUGAAACAGUACGUGAAAUUGUUGAAAGGGAAACGCUUGAAGUCAGUCGCGUCGGCAGAGACUCAGCCUUGCCUUGGCUUGGCGUACUUCUCAGUCGACGGGUCAGCAUCAAUUUUGGACCUUGGAUAAUGGUGAGGGAAAUGUGACACCUUUCUAGGUGUGUUAUAGUCUCUCAUCGGAUGCAAGGGUCAGGAUUGAGGAACUCAGCACGCGCCCUUGGGCGUCGGGGCUUGCCUACGAUAC